GAUGAACGCUGGCGGCGUGCCUAAUACAUGCAAGUCGAGCGAACAGACGAGGAGCUUGCUCCUCUGACGUUAGCGGCGGACGGGUGAGUAACACGUGGAUAACCUACCUAUAAGACUGGGAUAACUUCGGGAAACCGGAGCUAAUACCGGAUAAUAUAUUGAACCGCAUGGUUCAAUAGUGAAAGACGGUUUUGCUGUCACUUAUAGAUGGAUCCGCGCCGCAUUAGCUAGUUGGUAAGGUAACGGCUUACCAAGGCAACGAUGCGUAGCCGACCUGAGAGGGUGAUCAGCCACACUGGAACUGAGACACGGUCCAGACGCCUACGGGAGGCAGCAGUAGGGAAUCUUCCGCAAUGGGCGAAAGCCUGACGGAGCAGCGCCGCGUGAGUGAUGAAGGUCUUCGGAUCGUAAAACUCUGUUAUUAGGGAAGAACAAAUGUGUAAGUAUCUAUGCACGUCUUGACGGUACCUAAUCAGAGAGCCACGGCUAACUACGUG
rnacentral:rRNA from 1 species